rnacentral:rRNA from 1 species
UACGAAGGGGGCGAGCGUUGUUCGGAUUUACUGGGCGUAAAGGGCGCGCAGGCGGCUUUGUUUGUCAGAUGUGAAAGCCCCGGGCUUAACCUGGGAACUGCAUUUGUGACUGCAUGGCUAGAGUGCGGCAGAGGGGGAUGGAAUUCCGCGUGUAGCAGUGAAAUGCGUAGAUAUGCGGAGGAACACCGAUGGCGAAGGCAAUCCCCUGGGCCUGCACUGACGCUCAUGCACGAAAGCGUGGGGAGCAAACAGG